AUUAUAACUUCAAAAUCUAGAAUUGUCUCUUAUUAAUGAUUCGGAAAUAGAAAAAACUUGGUUAUGUUAUUAUUCUUCGUUGGUUCGUUUAAUGGAAAACACUUUGCUACAAGAAAUAAUGGAAAUUUUAUAACGAAUUUAAUAAAAUGUUUUUAUCAUUAUAUAUAAAGAAUUAAUGGCAAGAAAAAGUUAUAUACAACCUCAACUCAUAUGGGACUACCUCCUGAAUUUAAGCAUAUUAAUUAGGGGAGGAAAAGAAACUAACAAGGAUUUUCUUAGUAGCGGCGAGCGAAAAGAAAACAGUUCAGCACCAAGUCACUUUGUCUAUAUGGCAAAUGUGAGAUGCAAUGUAUAGAGCGUCAAUAUUCUAGUAUGAGAAAUUAACGAUUUAGGUCCUUCUUAAAUGAGGCCAUUUACCCAUAGAUGGUGGCAGGCCCGUACAACGUUAAUGAUUACUAGAUGAUGUUUCCAAAGAGUCGUGUUGCUAAAACUAAAUAUAACCAUGAGACCGAGGGAACAACAAGUACCGUGAGGGAAAGUUGAAAAGAACUCUGAAUAGAGAGUUAAACAGUACGUGAAACUGCUUCGAGGUUAAGCCCGAUGAACCUGAAUAUCCGUUAUGGAAAAUUCAUCAUUAAAAUUGUAAUAUUUAAAUAAUAUUACGAGGAUAGUGUGCAUUUUUUCCAUAUAAGGGCAUUGUAAUCUAUUAGCAUAUACCAAAUAAUUAUCAUUGAUUUUUGUGUUUAUUAUAUGCACUUGUAUGAUUAACAAUGCGAAAGAUUCAGGAUACCUUCGGGACCCGUCUUGAAACACGGACCAAGGAGUCUAACAUAUGUGCAAGUUAUUGGGAUAUAAACCUAAUACCGUAAUUAACUUGACUAAUAAUGGGAUUAGUUUUGUAACUAUUUAUAGCACAAUCCCGGGGCGUUCUAUAUAGUUAUGUAUAAUGUUUAUUUAUAUUAUUUAUGCCUCUAACUGGAACGUACCUUGAGCAUAUAUGCUGUGACCCGAAAGAUGGUGAACUAUACUUGAUCAGGUUGAAGUCAGAGGAAACCCUGAUGGAAGACCGAAACAGUUCUGACGUGCAAAUCGAUUGUCAGAAUUGAGUAUAGGAGUGAAAGAACAAUCGAACCAUCUAGUAGCUAGUUCCUUCCGAAGUAUCCCUCAGGAUAGCUGGGUCAUUUUAAUAUUAUAUAAAAUAAUCUUAUCUUGUAAAGCGAAUGAUUAGAGGCAGAUAUCAUGAAAGGCGUUGCUUGCUUAAAACAGCAGGACGGUGAUCAUGGAAGUCGAAAACCGCUAAGGAAUUUUUGAUACUCACCUGCCGUAGCAACUAGCCCUUAAAAUGGAUGGCGCUUAAUUUGUAUACCUAUACAUUACCGCUAAAGUAGAUGAUUUAUAUUACUUGUGAUAUACAUUUUGAAACUUUAGUGAAUACGAAGGUACAAUGAUAUGCGUAGAAGUGUUUGGCGUUAGCCUGCAUGGAGCUGCCAUUGGUACAGAUCUCGGUGGUAGUAGCAAAUAAUCGAUAGAAUAAUGUAGGUAUGGGAAGUCGGCAAUUUAGAUCCGUAACUUGGGGAUAAGGAUUGGAUCUGAAGAUUUAUAUAGUCGAGCUUGAUUGGGAAACAAUAACAUGGUUUAUGUUCUCGAUCUGGGUAAAUAGAGUUUCUAGAAUUUAUGUUAGUUACUUGUUCCCCGGAUAGUUUAGUUACGUAGCCAAUUGUGGAACUGUCUUGCUAAAAUUUUUAAGAAUACUUUUUGGGGGAAACCAAUUAGUUCUUAUUAAUUAUAACGGUUAUCAAUUAACAAUCAAUUCAGAACUGGCACGGACUUGGGGAAUCCGACUGUCUAAUUAAAACAAAGCAUUGUGAUGGCCCUAGCGGGUGUUGACACAAUGUGAUUUCUGCCCAGUGCUCUGAAUGUCAAAGUGAAGUAAUUCAACGGCGGGAGUAACUAUGACUCUCUUAAGGUAGCCAAAUGCCCGGCAAGCAAGCACUCGAAUUGCUACCGGGGUGGUUGC
rnacentral:rRNA from 1 species